UGAGGAAUAUUGGUCAAUGGACGAGAGUCUGAACCAGCCAAGUAGCGUGAAGGAUGACCGCCCUAUGGGUUGUAAACUUCUUUGUGUGGGAAUAAAGUGAGCCACGUGUGGCUUUUUGUAUGUACCAUACGAAUAAGGAUCGGCUAACUCCGUGCCAGCAGCCGCGGUAAUACGGAGGAUCCGAGCGUUAUCCGGAUUUAUUGGGUUUAAAGGGAGCGUAGGCGGGACGUUAAGUCAGUUGUGAAAGUUUGCGGCUCAACCGUAAAAUUGCAGUUGAUACUGGCGUCCUUGAGUGCGGCAGAGGCAGGCGGAAUUCGUGGUGUAGCGGUGAAAUGCGUAGAUAUUAGGAGGAACACCAGUGGCGAAGGCGGCUUACUGGACGGUAACUGACGUUGAGGCUCGAAAGCGUGGGGAGCAAACAGGAUUAGAUACCC
rnacentral:rRNA from 1 species